UGCCUCAGCCUCCCGAGUAGCUGGGACUAUAGGCACCCGCCACCACGCCCGGCUAAUUUUUUGUAUUCACAGUACAGACGGGGUUUCACCGUGUUAGCCAGGAUGGUUUCGAUCUCCUGACCUCGUGAUCCGCCCGCCUCUGCCUCCCAAAGUGCUGGGAUUACAGGCGUGAGCCACCGCGCCCGGUGGAAAGGACACUUUUUUACAGUAUGAGCACUGAAACAAAAAGGCAAAGCAAGGUCUGUUCACCUUCAGCUGAGAACGUGAGGAUUGGUUCAGGAGUACAUGCGCAGGUUUGUCAUAUAAGCAAAUUAUGUGGCACAGAAGUUUGGUGUAUGGAUUAUUUCAUCACCCAGGCCGUUUCUCAGCGUUGGAUGUGCAAGCAGUUUUGAGAGAUGAAGUCAUGACUUCAAGACAAAAAAACAGGUUUGCUUAUUUUGCUACAAACCAAUAAGUUCUUCAGCCAUGCUGCAAAUCCACUGUGUAUCCAGUUCCCAUCUGCGGCCCGCACAUCAUCCCCAUGGGACUUGAGAGCAAGAGGAUCCCACGCAAAUCAUGUUGCUUGCUAUGCUAACUGGUUCCUAAGAGAGCAGAAAAUCAGCUAUAUGAAACCACGGCUAAAGAGAUAAAUGGCCUCAGUACUCAAAUUUGUAUACCACGCUUAUCUGCAACUGCAGAUCACCUGAACGAUAGUGAAUCAACUGAUUGGGAAGAAUUCAUCUAAUGUAAACUAUGUGGUCAACGAUCUAAGGGAUUAUUUGUGAAGAAGAAAAUCUGGGUUCCAAUUUAUACUCUGUUCUAGCUGAUGGUAGAACCUAAGGAAUGGUCCAUUUCCCCUAGUAAAUUCUCUUGUAUCACUAUAGAUGCUUUCCGAAAAUGCUGAUCACAAUUUAAAAUUUUACCUCUUAAGUGUCUAUUUGAUUAGUGGCUGAAUCCCUCCUUCAGACUGAAGUCCAUGAGAACAGAAACUCUGUUAUUUUUUGGUCUGCAUUGUAUACACGGCAUUCAACACAGUACCAGCCACAAUGUGAAUGCUCACUUACCAAAUACAUGAUUGAAUGAAUUUAAAUCUUCUGGGGCUCAGUUUCUCCAUAUUGAAAAUGAUCCUUGUAUCAUGUCUAAAUAUUGCUCAAAUUUCUUACAUCUUUAAGGGUUGUGUACCACCAUUUUAUGAUCCUUAUUCUUCAGAAGCAUAACAAUGAUUUAGAAACAGAGGCAUGUAUGAAAUUACUAGAGAAAAAAGAUAUAGCCAACAAUUAAGCAUUCCCUUGUAGGUUACUGAGCUCAGAAAAUGAAUGAAUAAAUUAUUAUUUUGCACGAUGGAUGCAUUUGAAUAAUGGAAAGAAUGUAAGAAGAUAUUUUCAGGUUAGCGGUAGAAUAAUAACAGAGGGAAAGAAGACAGAGGCAACAACGAGGAUGAGCUGUGCAAGGGAAUGUGAAGAUUUUCUCCAUAUCUGCAUGUUUGUAUGAUUAAGAUUUCCAAUUUAUUCUAUUAAUGUUUGUUUCUCUGCCCAAUUAAAUGAUGAAGUAAAUGUCAUGGCCCAGAUAUUUGGGACUGGCUUCAUCAGAAUCAUUUAAUUAUAUUUAUGGGUUCUUGGAAGUUCAGAUUAAAAAUAUCACAUCCCAAAUCUUGAACAGCUCAAGUGACAAUGCAAUACUCCUAGGGAGAAAAACAUGGCCAUCCCCAUCAUGCUGUGUGGAGGCUGAUUGUGACAAUAGAGAUGCUUGCCUCCUUUCAAAGAUAAAAGGAAAAACUUCAAGUUCUUUAAUUCUGAAAAGCUGGUAAAUAGUAACAGCUUAUAAUAGUCUUUAAAAUGACCAUAAAGAAAAUUCCAAUUGAUUUAAUGAUUAGAAGUGAAACUUGAAGUCAAGAAAUUCAAAGCCUCUUUACAAAGCCAUGCCCUUCACAUUUAUUUAAGAAUAUAUGUGAUCACAGGCACAUAUUGUACAAGUCCAGCAUCCUUUUGCUUAUCCAAGAGAAUAUACAGCCACAUGGCACAAUGCUUUUGAUUAAUACCACUGAAAUAAAAAAUGAGAAAUUUAAGUGGAAAUAACAGCCAACUAAAUGCACACACAAUAAUAAAGUGUUCCAUUUGUUUAAGUGAAGAAUAAGAACUCUUACUUAUUUUAGGUAGUUUUUUGAAAAGAAAGGCAACAAAUAUUUUUCAACAAGUACAAAGAUCAUAUGUAUGUUCUACAGUUUUGACUGAGGGUACAAAAUAAAAAUGUCCUGGACAUUAAAGGGUCAUAAAGGAAUUUUAUGCACAACUGUUUGCCCACAGAUUUGAUUAUUGGUUGAUUGUAGUGAAUCAAUUUUAUGAAAGAUGCCAUCUGCCAAUAUUUGUAAAAGGAGAAAUAGACAAUCUGAAUAGAUCUAUGUCUAUUGUAGAAAUUGAAUAAAUAAUUAAUAACCUUACAAAACAUAAAGUCUUGGGCCUUCAUGGGUUCACUGGGAUGAAUUCUACUAAACAUUUAAGGAAGGAAUUAGAGGACUCCUGUAAGAUCUCUCUUAGAAGAUAAAAGCAGAGGGCAUACUUCCUAACUCAUUCUAUGAGGCCAGCUUACCCUAAUACUGAAACUAGACAAAAACAUUGCAAAAAAGGAAAACUACAGACCAAUAUCUCUCAUGAACAUUGAUGCAAAAAAUCUCAACAAAAUGUUAGCAAUUCAAAUACAACAAUGUAUAAAAAUAAUUAUACACCAUGACCAACUGGCAUUUAUCACAGAUAUGCAAGGCUAGUUCAACAAUAAAGAAAUCAAUUAAUGUAAUCAAUCACAUCAAUAGGCUAAAGAAGAAUAGUCAUGAAUUUACACAUAGACCUUACAUCCUUCCUGAAAACCAACUUAAAAUGAAUCAUAGACCUAAAUGUAAAAUGCAAAACUAGAAACUUUUAGAAGAUACUAUAGGAGAAAAUUUAGAUGACUUUGGAUAUGGUAGUAAUUUAUUAGAUACAACUCCAAAGGCAUGAUUUAUGAUAAAAAAUGAUAAGCUGGACUUCAUUAAAAUUAAAAACUUCCACACUGUGAGAGACAAUAUCAAGAGAAUGAGCAGACAACCCACAGACUGGGAUAGGAUAUUUACAAAAGACACAUCUUGUAAAGGUCUGUUAUCCAAGUUUACAAAGAACUCUUAAAACUCAACAGUAAGAAUACAAGUCUGGGUGUGGUAGCUUAUGUCUGUAAUCCUAACACUUUGGGAGGCUGAGAUGGGCAGAUGACUUGAGCCUGGGAGUUUGAGACCAACUAGGGCAACAUGAUGAAACCCUGUCUCUACAAAAAAUUAGCUGAGCAUGGUGGUGCACCUGUAGCCCCAGCUAUUCGGGAGGCUGAGGUGGGAGAAUCAUCUAAGCGCAGGAGUUUAAGGCCACAGUGACUGCCACUGCGUUUCAUCCUGGGUAACAAGUGAGAUCCUAUCAAGAAGGAAGGAAGGAAGGAAAGAAAGGAAAGGAAAGGAAGGAAGGAAGGAGGAAAGAAAGAAAGAAAAGGAGGAGGAGAAGAAGGAAGGAAGAAAGAAAGAAAAGGAGGGAAGGAGGGAGGAAGGAAGGAAGGAAAGAGAAGGAAGGAGGAGGAGAAAGGAAGGAAGGAAAGAGAAAGAAGAGGAGGAAGGAAGGAAGGAAAGAGAAAGAAGAGGAGGAGAAAGGAAGGAAGGAAAGAAAGAAAGAAAAGGAGGAGGAGGAAGGAAGGAAGAAAGGAAGGAAGGGAGGAAGGAGGGAGCGAGGGAGGGAGGAAGGAAGGAAGGAAAGAGAAAGAAAGAAAGAGAGAGACAAAGAAAAGGAGAGAAGGAGGAAGGAAGGAAACCAGAUUUAAAAAUAAGCCAAAUAACUUAACAGACACUUCGUGAAACAAGUUGUAUAAAUGACAAACAAGCAUGUGAAGAGAUGCUCCACAUUAUGUCAUUAGGAAAACAAAAACUGAAACAAUAAUGAGACACCUGUUUGUGUGGCCGAAAUCCAGUACACUGACAACACCUAAUGCUGGGGAAGAUGUGAAGCAGCAAGAACUCCCACUCGUUGCUGGUAGGAAUGCAAAGUGGCACAGCAACUUUAAAAGACAGUUUGGUGUUUUCUCACAAAACGAAACAUACUCUUACCAUAGGAUCUAGCCAACACAUUCUUUGAUAUUUACCCAAAAUGUUGAAAACUUAUACCCACACAAAAAUCUUCAUAUGGAUCCUUAUAGCAGCCUUAUUUACAACUGCCCAAAUCUGGAAGCAACCGAGAUGUUCCUCAGUAGGUGAAUGGAUGAAUAAACUGUGGUACAUCCAGGCAAAGAAAUGUUCAGUGACAAAAAAAAAAGAGCUAUGAAAAGACAUAGAAGAAAUGUAAAUGUAUAUUACUCAGUGAAAGAAGUCAACAUCAAAAGGCUAUAUGACAUUCUGGAAAAGGCAAAACUAUGAAGACAGUAAAAAGACCAAUGGUUGUCAGGGGUUGGAGGGGAGAGAGAGAUGAGUAGACAGAACACAGGAUUUUUAGGGCAGUGUAUAUACUCUGUGUGUACACUAUAAUGGUGGAGACAUGUCAUUAUGUAUUUGUACAAACCCAUAGAUGGUAUAAAACCAAGAGGGAGCCGUAAUGUAAACCAUGAAGUUUCGGUGACUGUGGUAUGUCAAUGUAGGUUCAUCAGUUGUAACAAUGUACCACUCUGUUGGGGAUACUGAUAACUGGGGAGGCUGUACACAUGUCAGGGCAGAAGAUAUAUGGGAAAUCUCUGUACCUUCCUCCCAAUUUUGCUGUAAACCUAAAACUGCUCUUUAAAAAAGUGAAAAAUUAAAACAAGGGCAAUCUAGUUGAUAUGGAGGAUGUACAGGAAAGGUAGAGGGGGAAGCAAGAUUAAUUUUUGAAAUUAGAAUCAUGAAUAAAAUGAAAGAGUAAUAUGAUUAUAAAGUCUUCUUCAAUAUCCACAGAUAACUUUUUUUUCCUAAAUGUUAAAUUUCUCCAUGAUCCCUGACAUUGUAUGAACCAAAGAUUUACAGUCUUGGACUAUAUGAUAGUUCAGUAAUAUAUCUGAUUUUGGAGAAUGCAUACUAGAGAGGCUUGCCUAGAAAGUUCAGAAGGAAAUUCUGAAAGCAGUAUUCUUAUCUUAGUGGCAAGCCGUCGUUCUCCAAUGGGAAAAUCAUGUUUGUAUUUAAGCAUCAUUUUUAGUAUCUGCAAAUGUCACACACAGACCUUCCGUUUUUACUUCAAUAACCUGCACAUGGUGUAUAUUUAGUUAGAGGCCCUGCCAGCUUUGAGGGACCUAUUUACCCAAGCGCAAAAAUAUCUUUACUUAAUACAUAGAUUGUACAGAUUCACCAAAUAGCUUGUCUUCUAAAGUAAUGAUAAGACAAUGGUGAAUAAUUCUUUACUUUUUUUUUAUAAUAAGAAAGAAACGAAAGUCUUUCUCUGCAGUUAAAUUACUACCUGUUAAAAGUGGCAAUAUAUGCUGCGUCUUAAAAUUGAAUUUGGCAUAUUUUUAAAAUGUUUAAUCUUGCCUUAAUGUAAUUUAACAAUGAAAUUAAGAGAGUUGUUCUUAUUUAUUUUUAAAAGUUUUUUAAGCCGUAUGAGUAAAUAAAGCAAUUACCCAUAAUGUUACAUUAUAGUAUGUUUAUUUCUAUUUUUGUGCUGGUUUGUCCACAGACAUAUAUGUACAAUUUAUCAAUUUGUUCCUUUUGCUUCAAAUUGUAUUAAUAUAGCAUUGUAAACAUUUUUCCUUAUUUCCAUAGUUUUAAAAAUAAAUAUCAUAUUAGUGUCAAUAAUUAAAUUUAUUUUGUGCUUCUUUUAAUCUACCUCAGUAAUUUUGAAUCAUUAAUUAUGCUGUUUUUAUUGUUUUGCUUUCAUAAUGAUUAUCUCAAACUCCCUUUAGCUUUUCUAAUGUUGUUAUUAUUUAUUUAUUUUUGUUGUUACUCUCAAUUAUCUUCUAAGGAAAGCAGGGUGUAACCUCAAAGCCAUGUGGCUUCUCCUAGCUCAUUAUCUAAAUUUUGGAAUCUGAAAUCCCAUUUUUUAACCUUUAAAUAAACUUUUAUUUUAUUAUUUAAAAUGUUUGUUCUACUUUUUUUUCUAAAAUUUACUCCAGUUAUUUAGACUUACAGCACGUCUUCCCUUGUUAGACCCUUACUUACUAUUAUCAAACAAUAAUCAUACAC
rnacentral:lncRNA from 10 species